ACGCUCGACACCUACGGGAGCAGCAGUGGGGAAUAUUGCACAAUGGGGGAAACCCUGAUGCAGCGACGCCGCGUGAGCGAAGAAGUAUUUCGGUAUGUAAAGCUCUAUCAGCAGGGAAGAUCAUGACGGUACCUGACUAAGAAGCUCCGGCUAAAUACGUGCCAGCAGCCGUGGUAAUCUGAGCGGGCUGGCAAGGC
rnacentral:rRNA from 1 species